CCUACGGGAGGCAGCAGUGAGGAAUAUUGGUCAAUGGACGAGAGUCUGAACCAGCCAAGUAGCGUGAAGGAUGACUGCCCUAUGGGUUGUAAACUUCUUUUAUAUGGGAAUAAAAUGUUCCACGUGUCGGAGUUUGUAUGUACCAUAUGAAUAAGGAUCGGCUAACUCCGUGCCAGCAGCCGCGGUAAUACGGAGGAUCCGAGCGUUAUCCGGAUUUAUUGGGUUUAAAGGGGGCGUAGGUGGAUUGUUAAGUCAGUUGUGAAAGUUUGCGGCUCAACCGUAAAAUGGCAGUUGAAACUGGCAGUCUUGAGUACAGUAGAGGUAGGCGGAAUUCGUGGUGUAGCGGUGAAAUGCUUAGAUAUCACGAAGAACUCCGAUUGCGAAGGCAGCUCACUGGACUGCAACUGACACUGAGGCUCGAAAGUGUGGGUAUCAAACAGGAUUAGAUACCCGGGUAGUC
rnacentral:rRNA from 1 species